UGAGUCUUAGUGGUCCUUCGAGGCUCAUGGAACUCUCCAGAUCUUUGAACUGUUUCUUCCCAGACCCUAGCUGUUUAUAAACAGGGGCGCUAGAAAGUGUGAUUAUAAAAAACCAGGGUCUACAACAGAUCAUUUCAAAAGGACAGUUUUUUUUAGAAGCACUGGGGGAAGUUUUCAAAAAUUUGUGCUGCCCUCAUGUGGCUUUAAGCUUCGGUAUUCCCUUUCUCAGGAGCCACUGUGUGUGUGUGUGUUUAUAAGUCAUUUAUUGGCUGGUAACUAAGAUAUGCAUAUUCCUGUACAGGAUGCAUCAUGAGUUUUUAAAGGAAUUUUUUUCUUAAAGAAAAGUUUAUUUUGUUAUCAUGCUUGGACUGAAAAUGUUAGGGUAUUGUAUCUGUCUGUAAUUUUCCUUUGGGUACUGGUAGAAGAAGCAGUCAGAUCUCCGGGCUGAGAGAGAUCCUGAGUUUUCUCACCGUUGGAUUACUUUGUGGGUCGAAAGCAAACGGGCUCCCUCAGUAGCCAGACCUGGAGCAGGCCUGCACCUGCGCCCACACCCACACCAAAGGACCCGGGACAGUGCUCUGGCCAGAGCCGUGACGCCGGCCCUUCCCAUCCACCAUCUGCUCCUGGCCCUGAUAGCCCGCUCCUGGCCCCGGCGGCCUGCCACAGGCCCCUAUCAUCACUUUUGAAACUCUGGGUGAUAUGAUAUCCUACUAUAAACAAGUGACAUGAACUUUAAAAACCAUUCUGAUUUGGGUCUGUACUGUUGAUUGUGCCUUCUUCUCCCAAAUUGGGGAAAAUAAUUUAAUUUUAGGGGCCGGAUUGUACCUAUUUCCUCCUAUCCCUUUCCUAGAAGGCACAGACUUCAGGUUGGAUUUGUCAGUCAGCAAGGAAGAAAGUGAAUGGUACCAUGGAAAUUCUGUGGCCACUGGCUAUUUCUUUCUUUCUAACUGAUAUGGAGACCUGGCCUCCUGGAUUUACAUGUAAGCUGUCAUGUAUGACCCAGAGGAGCUUGUAACCCUGUUUCAUACCCACUCUGUUGGCGUAUCUAGAUUUAAGGAUUCGUUCCUUUAAUUUUGCAAA